UACGGAGGGUGCUAGCGUUGCUCGGAAUCACUGGGCGUCAAGCGCACGUAGGCGGCUUGUUAAGUCAGGGGUGAAAUCCUGGAGCUCAACUCCAGAACUGCCUUUGAUACUGGCGAGCUUGAGUUCGGGAGAGGUGAGUGGAACUGCGAGUGUAGAGGUGAAAUUCGUAGAUAUUCGCAAGAACACCAGUGGCGAAGGCGGCUCACUGGCCCGAUACUGACGCUGAGGUGCGAAAGCGUGGGGAGCAAACAGG
rnacentral:rRNA from 1 species